rfam:Myotis davidii contig113551, whole genome shotgun sequence.
GGAGGUUCUCGGGUGACGCACCCCAGAAUCAGGCUCCCUCCUCUCUGGUUUCUGGUACAUCACCUGAGAACCACA